AGUCGAACGGAGCUUAGAGAGCUUGCUUUUUAAGCUUAGUGGCGAACGGGUGAGUAACGCGUGAGUAACCUGCCCUGGAGUGGGGGACAACAGUUGGAAACGACUGCUAAUACCGCAUAAGCCCACGGUACCGCAUGGUACUGAGGGAAAAGGAUUUAUUCGCUUUAGGAUGGACUCGCGUCCAAUUAGCUAGUUGGUGAGGUAACGGCCCACCAAGGCGACGAUUGGUAGCCGGACUGAGAGGUUGAACGGCCACAUUGGGACUGAGACACGGCCCAGACUCCUACGGGAGGCAGCAGUGGGGGAUAUUGCACAAUGGGGGAAACCCUGAUGCAGCGACGCCGCGUGGAGGAAGAAGGUUUUCGGAUUGUAAACUCCUGUCGUUAGGGACGAUAAUGACGGUACCUAACAAGAAAGCACCGGCUAACUACGUGCCAGCAGCCGCGGUAAAACGUAGGGUGCAAGCGUUGUCCGGAAUUACUGGGUGUAAAGGGAGCGCAGGCGGGAAGACAAGUUGGAAGUGAAAACCAUGGGCUCAACCCAUGAAUUGCUUUCAAAACUGUUUUUCUUGAGUAGUGCAGAGGUAGAUGGAAUUCCCGGUGUAGCGGUGGAAUGCGUAGAUAUCGGGAGGAACACCAGUGGCGAAGGCGGUCUACUGGGCACCAACUGACGCUGAGGCUCGAAAGCAUGGGUAGCAAACAGGAUUAGAUACCCUGGUAGUCCAUGCCGUAAACGAUGAUUACUAGGUGUUGGGGGAUUGACCCCCUCAGUGCCGCAGUUAACACAAUAAGUAAUCCACCUGGGGAGUACGACCGCAAGGUUGAAACUCAA
rnacentral:rRNA from 1 species